AUCCAGCUGACGAGUCCCAAAUAGGACGAAACGCGCGUCCUGGAC
rfam:Schistosoma rodhaini strain Burundi genome assembly, scaffold: SROB_scaffold0002170